rnacentral:rRNA from 1 species
UACGUAGGGUCCGAGCGUUAAUCGGAAUUACUGGGCGUAAAGCGUGCGCAGGCGGUUUUGUAAGCCAGAUGUGAAAUCCCCGAGCUUAACUUGGGAACUGCAUUUGGGACUGCAAAGCUAGAGUACGGCAGAGGGAGGUGGAAUUCCACGUGUAGCAGUGAAAUGCGUAGAGAUGUGGAGGAACACCGAUGGCGAAGGCAGCCUCCUGGGCUAGUACUGACGCUCAUGCACGAAAGCGUGGGGAGCGAACAGG